rnacentral:pre_miRNA from 1 species
AAGGUACUCCCUCCGUCCGAAAAUACUUGUCGGAGGAAUGGAUAUAUCUAGAUGUAUUUUAGUUCUAGAUACAUCCAUUUAUAUUCAUUUCUACGACAAGUAUUUCCGGACGGAGGAAGUACGAA